rnacentral:rRNA from 1 species
GUCCAGACUCCUACGGGAGGCAGCAGUGGGGAAUAUUGCACAAUGGGGGAAACCCUGAUGCAGCGACGCCGCGUGAGCGAUGAAGUAUUUCGGUAUGUAAAGCUCUAUCAGCAGGGAAGAAGAUGACGGUACCUGACUAAGAAGCCCCGGCUAACUACGUGCCAGCAGCCGCGGUAAUACGUAGGGGGCAAGCGUUAUCCGGAUUUACUGGGUGUAAAGGGAGCGUAGACGGCGGUGCAAGCCAGAUGUGAAAGCCCGGGGCUCAACCCCGGGACUGCAUUUGGAACUGUAUGGCUGGAGUGUCGGAGAGGCAGGCGGAAUUCCUAGUGUAGCGGUGAAAUGCGUAGAUAUUAGGAGGAACACCAGUGGCGAAGGCGGCCUGCUGGACGAUGACUGACGUUGAGGCUCGAAAGCGUGGGGAGCAAACAGGAUUAGAUACCCGAGUAUC